ensembl:lncRNA
UGAUCGCUGACAUAUGGGCGGGGCAACGUCAAGGUGUGCUGUGGAGCAAAGUGGGGCCAUACAAGAUUUUUGCCACGGACCUUCAAAAUUUGGCCCCUGGGAGGCAGCUGGAGAGUGAGGUUUUAAAUGCAUUCAUGCGUACGAUUGUAAUGCAGCAACAAAAAGAAACGGAAAGCCAAUUCUUUCUGAUUGACUCGUUCCAAAUGACCGCAAUGUGGCAAGGAUCAUUCAGAGGAUUGAGAAAGCUUGACCCCGUGGCCUUCGACAUCCUCAUAGGACCAGUGUGCGACAAACAGCACUGGACACUUGUGAGUUUUCAUGAGACUUCGAAAUGUUCAUAUUUCUCGGUGGACUUGUGAUAAAGUAAGCCAUCCAAAACAACAGGACUCAACAUCCUGUGGGGCACUUGUCUGCAAGUUUGCAGAGCUUAUUCUCAGCGGUGCCUGAUAGAUUUCUCUACAGACGAGGCUUCCAUCACUCUGUUGAGGCGAGAAAUAGCAUGCAGACUGGUCACUGACUCAGAUCCAGUGUACAACAUGCGGGCUGUGGUUCCACUGGCUCUGCAUUGGAAAGCCGCCAUUGGAGCAGGACUUCUGCUGUCCUGCAUGUUAUCUGUAAUGGAGGAAGUAUGUGGCUGAAGCUCUCUAACUCUAUGCUAGGUUUGUCUCUGCACUGCUGCUGACUUGUGUAGUGGGGAAAAUAAACUACACCAAUCUAUAUAAAUAGAAGUCUAACAUUGCAUUACAAACAGGAAGAUGAGUCAUAUUGUAAAAUUAAUUUGACAUUAAAAUAAUUUUAAUGCCACUGUCUGCUCGCCACCUAUUGCAUGCCAACCAUCCUACUUCACAAGAGUCUUUGUGCUUUUUCUCUUCACAGGUUCUCGUGGUUCUAUCUGGACCCUGGUCUUGCGUUCUUCGGUGGUUCUGCCAUUUCAAUUGAAUGUUUUGUAGCUCUUGUAAUUAUUCUGUACACAAGACAUCUAUUGCACUUCUGUCCAUCUUGGGAGAGGGAUCCCUCCUCGUUUGCUCUCCC